GAUGAAGAACGUAGCGAAAUGCGAUAAGUAGUGUGAAUUGCAGAAGUACCGUGAAUCAUCGAAUCUUUGAACGCAAAUUGCACUCUCUGGUAUUCCGGGGAGUAUGCCUGUUUGAGGGUCGCUUAACAAACCAUCGAUUUCGUUGCUUUUUUUUUUAAAGUGAUGUUUAUCGGAUUUGAGCCGUCUUUUUUUUUUAUAUUUAAGUGGCUUAAAAUUGAUUUUUUUGGUACGAUCGAAGCGUAUUUUUAUGAUCAAUUUUUGGUUAAAGAAACGCACACGUACCGUUAUUUAUAUGAUGUAAUACGUUUGACUAUUGGAUUUAGUUCAUUCGUAUACGAUAUCUUUCAAUAUUUGACCUCAAAUCAGGUAAGAACACCCGCUGAACUUAAGCAUAUCAAUAAGCGGAGGA
rnacentral:misc_RNA from 1 species